rnacentral:rRNA from 1 species
GUCGUAACAAGGUCUCCGUUGGUGAACCAGCGGAGGGAUCAUUACCGAGUUAUACAACUCCCAAACCCACUGUGAACCUUACCUCAGUUGCCUCGGCGGGAACGCCCCGGCCGCCUGCCCCCGCGCCGGCGCCGGACCCAGGCGCCCGCCGCAGGGACCCCAAACUCUCUUGCAUUACGCCCAGCGGGCGGAAUUUCUUCUCUGAGUUGCACAAGCAAAAACAAAUGAAUCAAAACUUUCAACAACGGAUCUCUUGGUUCUGGCAUCGAUGAAGAACGCAGCGAAAUGCGAUAAGUAAUGUGAAUUGCAGAAUUCAGUGAAUCAUCGAAUCUUUGAACGCACAUUGCGCCCGCCAGCAUUCUGGCGGGCAUGCCUGUUCGAGCGUCAUUUCAACCCUCGAGCCCCCCCGGGGGCCUCGGUGUUGGGGGACGGCACACCAGCCGCCCCCGAAAUGCAGUGGCGACCCCGCCGCAGCCUCCCCUGCGUAGUAGCACACACCUCGCACCGGAGCGCGGAGGCGGUCACGCCGUAAAACGCCCAACUUUCUUAGAGUUGACC